GCAAGUCGAACGGCUUUUCUAUGGAAGCUUGCUUCCACUGAGAAGAUAGUGGCGAACGGGGUGAGGUAACACGUGGGGUAACCUGCCCAUAAGAGGGGGGAGUAACAUCCGGAAACGGGUGCUAAUACCGCAUAGUUUUCUUGGUCGCAUGAUCGGGAAAGGAAAGACGGCCUUUGUGCUGUCGCUUAUGGAUGGACCCGCGGCGUAUUAGUUAGUUGGUGAGGUAACGGCUCACCAAGACGAUGAUACGUAGCCGACCUGAGAGGGUGAUCGGCCACAUUGGGACUGAGACACGGCCCAAACUCCUACGGGAGGCAGCAGUAGGGAAUCUUCCGCAAUGGACGAAAGUCUGACGGAGCAACGCCGCGUGAGUGAAGAAAAGGUUUUCGGAUCGUAAAACUCUGUUGUCAGAGAAGAACAAGUUGGAGAGUAACUGCUCCAGCCUUGACGGUAUCUGACCAGAAAGCCACGGCUAACUACGUGCCAGCCGCUGC
rnacentral:rRNA from 1 species